AUCCUGGAGCAGGAGCAGGACCCCGAGCCCGUCCCGGCCGCGCGGCUCCGGCCCCGCUCGGGGCGGCUCCGGUGGCUCCUGGACCGCGAGGCGGCCGCAGAGCUGGGGCAGCGCCCGCCAGCCUGAAACGGGGGAAAAUGGGGGAAAUUCGGGAAUUCCGGGGAAAAAAUGGGAAAUGUGGAUGGAGGAGUUCCGGAAAAAAACACCCCAGGAAAAAUGGACUUGGAAUGGAGAAAUUCCGUGGGAAAAUGGAGGAAUUCCAUGGGAAAAUGUCCUUAAAAUUGAGAAGUUCAAUGAAAAAAUGUCCUAAGAAAUGGAGAAAUUCCAGAGAACAAUGUCCUUAAAAUUGGGAAAUUCAAUGGAAAAUUUGGGAAUUCCGGGGAAAAAAUGGGAAAUCUGGAUGGAGGAAUUCCGGAAAAAAACACCCCAGGAAAAAUGGACUUGAAAUGGAAAAAUUCCGUGGGAAAAAAGGUCCUUAAAAUGGAGAAAUUCCGUGGGAAAAUGUCUUGAAAAUUGAGAAAUUCCAUGGAAAAUUCGGAAAUUCCGGGGAAAAAAGGGGAAAUAUGGAUGGAGGAAUUCCAGAAAAAAAAAACAGGAAAAAUUCUGUGGCAAAAAAUUGGGGAAUUCCCAGGUAAAAUAUCUUUAAAAUGGAGAAAUUCCAUGGAAAAUGGGCCGGGAGUGGAGGAAUUCCAGAAAAAAAACCAGGAAAAAUGGACUUGAAAUGGAAAAAUUCCGUGGGAAAAAAUGUCUUUAAAAUGGAGGAAUUCCAUGGGAAAAUGUCCUUAAAAUGGAGAAAUUCUAUGAAAAAAUGUCCUAAGAAAUGAAGAAAAUCCAGAGAAAAAUGUCCUUAAAACUGGGGAAUUCCCAGGUAAAAUAUCUCUAAAAUUGAGAAAUUCCAUGGAAAAAUGUCCUUAAAAUGGAGAAAUUCCAGAAAAAAACCAGCAGAAAGGUCCUUCAAAUGGAGAAAAUCCCAGGAAAAAUGUCCUUAAAAUGGAGAAAUUCCAGGAAAAAAUGUCCUAAGAAAUGGAGAAAAUCCAGAGAAAAAUGUCCUUAAAACUGGGAAAUUCCAUGGGAAAAUGGAGGAAUUCCGUGGGAAAAUGUCCUUAAAAUGGAGGAAUUUCAUGAAAAAAUGUCCUAAGAAAUGGAGAAAAUCCAGAGAAAAAUGUUCUUAAAAUUGGGAAAUUCCAGAAAAAAAAAAACCAGCAGAAAUGUCCUUAAAAUGGAGAAAAUCCAGAGAAAAAUGUCCUUAAAAUUGGGAAAUUCCCAGGUAAAAUAUCUUUAAAAUUGAGAAAUUCCGUGGAAAAAAGGGAAGAAAUAUCGUUAAAAUUGAGAAAUUCCAUGGGA
rnacentral:lncRNA from 1 species